UACGUAGGGGGCUAGCGUUGUCCGGAAUCAUUGGGCGUAAAGGGUGCGUAGGUGGCGCGCUAAGUCAGGUGUGAAAUUUCGGAGCUUAACUCCGAAACUGCAUUUGAUACUGGCGUGCUUGAGGACUGGAGAGGAGACUGGAAUUCAUGGUGUAGCAGUGAAAUGCGUAGAGAUCAUGAGGAAGACCAGUGGCGAAGGCGGGUCUCUGGACAGUUCCUGACACUGAGGCACGAAGGCCAGGGGAGCAAACGGGG
rnacentral:rRNA from 1 species